GCUUGUCUCAAAGAUUAAGCCAUGCAUGUCUAAGUAUAAACGCUUUAUACUGUGAAACUGCGAAUGGCUCAUUAUAUCAGUUAUAGACUAUUCAAUAAUCUCUUACUACUUGGAUAACCGUAGUAAUUCUAGAGCUAAUACAUGCAUAAAUACCCAGACUUACGAAUGGGUGCACUUAUUAGAUAAAGCCAACGCUGGGUAAAACCAGUUUCCCUUGGUGAUUCAUAAUAAUUAAGCGGAUCGCAUGGCCUUGUGCUAGCGACAGUCCACUCGAUUUUCUGCCCUAUCAUGGUUGAGAUUGUAAGAUAGAGGCUUACAAUGCCUACAACGGGUAACGGGGAAUUAGGGUUCGAUUCCGGAGAGGGAGCCUGAGAAACGGCUACCACAUCCAAGGAAGGCAGCAGG
rnacentral:rRNA from 1 species